UGGGGAAUUGUUCACAAUGGGCGCAAGCCUGAUGACGCAACGCCGCGUGGGGGAUGAAGGUCUUCGGAUUGUAAACCCCUGUCGAAUGGGACGAAAGACUCGCGAGUUAAUACUUCGCGGGAGUGACGGUACCGUUAAAGGAAGCCACGGCUAACUCUGUGCCAGCAGCCGCGGUAAUACAGAGGUGGCAAGCGUUGUUCGGAAUUACUGGGCGUAAAGGGCGCGUAGGCGGCCUACUAAGUCAGACGUGAAAUCCCCCGGCUUAACCUGGGAACUGCGUCUGAUACUGGAAGGCUUGAGUAUGGGAGAGGGAUGUAGAAUUCCAGGUGUAGCAGUGAAAUGCGUAGAUAUGUGGAGGAAUACCGAUGGCGAAGGCAGCCCCCUGGGAUAACACUGACGUUCAUGCACGAAAGCGUGGGUAGCGAAUGGGAUUAGAUACCCUUGUAGUCCCUGAGCGGGCUGGCAAGGCGCAU
rnacentral:rRNA from 1 species